GCCGCGGUAGCUCAACCCGGGAGAGCACUCGGCUGAAGACCGAGGUGUUGCUGGUUCAAAUCCGGCCCGCGGCA
rnacentral:tRNA from 1 species